rnacentral:rRNA from 1 species
UACAGAGGUGGCAAGCGUUGUCCGGAAUUAUUGGGCGUAAAGGGCUCGUAGGCGGUUUGUCGCGUCGGGAGUGAAAUCCACUGGCUUAACUGGUGGCUUGCUUUCGAUACGGGCAGACUGGAGGUAUGCAGGGGAGAACGGAAUUCCAGGUGUAGCGGUGAAAAUGCGUAGAUAUCUGGAGGAACACCGGUGGCGAAGGCGGCAUUCUGGACUGCAACUGACACUGAAAGACGAAAGCCAGGGGAGCAAACGGG